rnacentral:misc_RNA from 1 species
AAGUCGUAACAAGGUUUCCGUAGGGUGAACCUGCGGAAGGGAUCAUUAGUGAAUAACAGACGUUCAAUUUGAACUUGAAGUCCGGAACUCUCACAUCUAACCCUGUGCAUUUGUUUUGGUUAGUAGAGCGCUUGCGUUCGAACACCUCUUCAUUUUACAAACACUAAGUCAAAGUAUGUUUAAAUUUAUAACAAAACAAAA